GUUGGUUACCACAAAAUGACUACGUUCAGUGGUCUAAUUUUAAUUAGUUUUUUACUAGGAUAUUCACUUGCUUUAAAAUGUUACGUGUGUACGGGUGAAGAAGGAUGCCCGAGUAUCAAAGAGGAAAUAAAUUGCGAAAAUAACUCAUUAAAAUUUUUUAAUAGAACUAUAUUUUCAAGUUUAUUCCCCCUUUUAGACGGAGUUUCUUCAUAUCAUUGUGCUUCAUAUGAAAUAUUUAAUGAUGAUGUUAAAGACUCUGUUAUUAUGGGAUGUUUCCUUGAUAGCUUUACAUGUGAAUUAAUUGAAAAAAUAUUCGAGGAAGAUAAUACAGUGGUAUCGAAUUGUCGAACUUGUUCAACAGAUUUUUGCAAUGGAUCAAAUAUUCAAACAAUUGAAUUUGCUUUACUAUUAUUUACCUUUAUAUUACUUAUUGGGAUAUAAUAAAUAUGAUAGAGCAAUAAAAUAUUAAAGAUUAAAUAUAGAUACGAAAUGUCAAUA